rnacentral:lncRNA from 1 species
UGUGCCGACGACGCGGUUGGUGUUGACCUGGUUCUGGUCGCCGCCGAAGAUCCUGGCCAUGCCGAAGUCGGAGAUCUUGGGGUUCAUGUCGCGGUCGAGGAGGAUGUUGCUGGCCUUGAGGUCGCGGUGCACCACGCGGAGCCUCGAGUCGCGGUGGAGGUACAGGAGCCCUCGCGCCACGCCUUCGAUGAUCUGGAACCUCAAAAAUGUUGCUGGAUUCUGAGGGUGUACGUACCGAAGAGGAAGGCGUCGAGGCUCUUGUUGGGCAUGUAUUCGUACACCAGUAUCUUCUCCUCGCCCUGGAUGCAGCAUCCCAGCAACCUGACAAGAUUGCGGUGCUGCAGCUUCGCGAUCAGGAUCACCUCGUUCUUGAACUCCUCCAGCCCCUGCCCGGAGCUCCGGGACAGCCUCUUCACCGCGAUCUCUUCUCCUCCAGGGAGCCUUCCCUGA